GAUGAAGAACGCAGCGAAAUGCGAUAAGUACUGUGAAUUGCAGAAUUCAGUGAAUCAUCGAAUCUUUGAACGCACAUUGCGCCCCCUGGUAUUCCGGGGGGCAUGCCUGUCCGAGCGUCAUUACAACCCUCAAGCUCAGCUUGGUAUUGGGCCCCGCCGACCCGGCGGGCCCUAAAGUCAGUGGCGGUGCCGUCCGGCUCCGAGCGUAGUAAUUCUUCUCGCUCUGGAGGUCCGGUCGUGUGCUCGCCAGCAACCCCCAAUUUUUUUCAGGUUGACCUCGGAUCAGGUAGGGAUACCCGCUGAACUUAAGCAUAUCAAUAAGCGGAGGA
rnacentral:misc_RNA from 1 species